UAUCGCGUGAAAUUGUGGGUGCGGGACAAAAGGAUUCGUCUUCUUCCCGAUGAACGGCGAUUACGAAAUCUAGGUUUGAUCUUCAUCAUCUCAGCUUCUUCAAUCUCAGACGAGCCGGCAAUGGAGUUUCAGGACGUUGUGGGAGACGAAUAUUCGGGAGGAAUCUCUUGCUCAAGUUUUCUUCGUGUCGGUUCGGCUAACUUUUUCCUCUGAAACGUUACGAGAUGCAAUGAUUCGUCGCCGUUAACAACCAUCUUUACUUCUUCCACCCACAACCAUGAUGAUUAAUCAUUUAAUGCUUCUUAUCUCUUUUCCAGAUUGUGGAUCUCAACCUAUAAGAAGGUCUCUGAUUUUGGGAAACGAGCGCGGUGGAGAGCUGACGGUGUGGACAUGCUCCUGCUAAGUUGGUUCUUCAGUCAUGGAAAGUGAAUAGCAACUGUUUAUGAAAUUAAAAUGCCAAGAAAAAGGUUAAAAAAAUUAAAGGAUGAAAAAAGUGUAGAACCGGCACUAUGUGAGUCAUGCUUUUCAUAACAACGUCGCACUCUUGCCAAAGUAAUCUUCUCUCUUGACAAGCAUUGUCGGUAAUUGAGUGGCUAGGAGAUAGAAGACGGUAAGGUGAAUAUCAAACCUGAGCUAAGGCUCAUAAAUCAAAUGAAAAAUAACUUUCUUAUCUUUUUAAACCUGAAGGUUGAUGAAUAUGAAGUCAGCUGGUUAGUUUGAUUUUACACUUGCAACUUUUAAGAUUUUCCCUAACUGUUUCCUGAUGUUCUUGAGACUACUUGCAGUGAUGGUAUGAAGGGCUACUUGAGUCCGUGUUCAAGGGAAACUCACCCUCUUAUAUUCAGGUCUCCAGUGAAGGGUAUGGAGGGCAUCUUGACCAACCAACUCAUGUGAGAACACGGACCUAGAUCAGAGGGUUCUUCUAACUCUUAACGCCUCAGCUUCCAAAUCUUUUUCGGUCUCACUCGCUCUUCUUCUUCUCCUACGAUUAGAUGUGCUUCUGUUUCAACUUCCCUCUUGAGAUUCUCUCCAUAUGUAUGCUGAUUGAGUUUUCCAAUCUUCAUAUCAUUUUUUUAACUGCGUAUGUGAAAUUCUUGCGGUUUUUAAGUCGAUGAAAAGAUCAUCCUGAUGCUCUGUUA